rnacentral:rRNA from 1 species
GACGAACGCUGGCGGCGUGCCUAAUACAUGCAAGUCGAGCGAACAGAAGGGAGCUUGCUCCCGGAAGUUAGCGGCGGACGGGUGAGUAACACGUGGGCAACCUACCCUGUAGAUCGGGAUAACAUCGAGAAAUCGGUGCUAAUACCGGAUAAUCAUUUGAAGUGCAUGCUUCGAAUGUAAAAGAUGGCUCCGGCUAUCACUACGGGAUGGGCCCGCGGCGCAUUAGCUAGUUGGUAAGGUAAUGGCUUACCAAGGCAACGAUGCGUAGCCGACCAGAGGGGGUGAUCGGCCACACUGGGACGAGACCACGGCACAGACUCCUACGGGAGGGAGAAGUAGGGAAUCUUCCGCAAUGGACGAAAGUCGGACGGAGCAACGCCGCGUGAGUGAUGAAGGUUUUCGGGUCGUAAAGCUCUGUUGUUAGGGAAGAACAAGUGCCGUUUGAAUAAGGCGGCACCUUGACGGUACCUAACCAGAAAGCCACGGCUAACUACGUGCCAGCCGCCGCCGUAAGAC